rnacentral:sRNA from 1 species
GUUGGUUAUGGAGACAUGCGACCGGUCACCGUUUGGGGUAAACUAGUAGGAUCAUUGUGUGCGAUUGCCGGUGUGCUCACAAUUGCCCUACCAGUCCCUGUGAUAGUAUCCAAC